rnacentral:rRNA from 1 species
AUUAACGCUGGCGGCGUGCAUAACACAUGCAAGUCGAACGAUGAAACUUAAAUGAUUUCUUCGGAAUGAACUUAAGUGGAUUAGUGGCGGACGGGUGAGUAACGCGUGAGUAACCUGCCUUACACAAGGGGAUAGCCGUUGGAAACGACGAAUAAUACCCUAUGAAACUAUCACUUCGCAUGAAGCGAUAGUCAAAGUGUUAGCGGCGUAAGAUGGACUUGCGUCUGAUUAGCUAGUUGGUGAGAAAAAAGCCCACCAAGGCAACGAUCAGUAGCCGGCUUGAGAGAGUGUACGGCCACAUUGGGACUGAGACACGGCCCAGACUCCUACGGGAGGCAGCAGUGGGGAAUUUUGCACAAUGGGGGAAACCCUGAUGCAGCGACGCCGCGUGAUUUAGAAGGCCUUCGGGUUGUAAAAAUCUUUUGUAUAGGAAGAAAAUGACAGUACUAUACGAAUAAGGUCCGGCUAAUUACGUG